UUGCCUACAUAUUGCACAGGAGAGGCUGGAGACUUGAGAGUGCUAUAAAAGGAGGGCAAGCGAGAAUAUACAAAAACAAGGGUUUGCAAAGUGGUGAGGGGUGGUGACUCGGGAGAGGUGCGGUGAUUGCUGGGAGCGGCAAGGAAGGAGCAUGUCAUGUGGACAAGAAAACCAAGCUAUGUGAUUAUCAUAUCCAUGAUCCUCUCUUAUUAUAUAGUUUUCAAUCUGAAUCAAUGCUCUCUCCUUCUUGCUUGCAAUAUUAUUUUCACUCCUCCGUCUUCCCCAUUCACCAGGUUGCAUAAUCCCUCGAGCCUUAUGAUGAUAAUCUUAAUCUGAAGGUACAAAAUCUAUGGUUUCUUGAGGAGAAGACUGACUUAGACAGUUCAAGGGUAGGAAGAAUGGUCAUGAAAAUCAUGUAAAACCUUGGCAUACCUAAAUAAUAUGGUUGUACAUAAAUUUUGAUUGUGGUUCCAUUUUCUAUCAUACCUAAAUAAUUUCAUAACCUGUGUUCUAAGGAUAUCAUGCUCUAUUGCUCUCCUUUCUUGUAUUUCUUGUUAUAAAAUUUGUCCCUGUGUUCUUGGCUUCAAUUUGUAUAUUUAUUACGUGCCGGACACAGUUAACACAUUUUCAGUUAUUAUAUCAUCUAAAUGCUGUUGCUCUGCC